GACGAAGGUGUUCUAAAUAUAAAAUGUCCUAAAAAGAUCGUCGACAAUAGUAAUACUAAAGUCCACCCCUGUUAAGGUCCAUGCAGAUGAAUAUAUAAUUUUCCCGCGGAGCGUAAAGAAAAGCGACUGACAACCGAAGAUAAUUUUAAGAAAAAUGCCAUCAAGCGUGAUGGUUUUUAUUGAGUUCGGAUCAGAAUCGACAAUUUGUUGAACAGGAUAACAAUUUAUUCGAUCACACAGCGAUUACAAUCGACGAUGUUUGAAUAUAAUACACAUAAGUACGCAACACACACACAUAUUGUGCUGGGAUUACGUCGUGCUACCGCGUAUAUGGUCGCGGUCCUGCAGCAGCAGAUAAACUACCUACCUACUCACCUAUUAUGGACACGGGCAGUGCAAUCGAUGGUGGGUACUCAC